rnacentral:tRNA from 1 species
GGGGAUAUAAUUCAGUGGUAAAGCACUUGCCUAGCAUGCAUGAAGCCCUGGGUUCAAUCCCCAGUACUACCA